CACACACCAUCACCACGGCCUCAAGACCAAAUAAAACACAAUCCUCCAAUAUCCCUUUCUCCUUCUGAUCUUCUUGAAUUUAGGUGACCGAGAGUCUCUCCAAUUAUGCAAUCCUCUCCAAAAUUGGGGCUUUUCUUCACUUCAGCACUUCCCCUCGCAGUGGAUUCAACUAGGUUCUUAACCUCUUCUCAAUUCUUAAACUGAAACCUGCGAUGUCUAAUCCAACUCGGCACCUAACCAGCUUGUCAGCAUCGUAAGUUUGCCUCAACAUUCCCCCUAGAAAUAAAAAAAGAAUGUAAAUCUACUUUCAUUUAUUUAUUAGGGAUGAUACUUUCUUUUUCUUAUUCGAUUUUCUAUAAUAAGUACAACGAAAACGGUGGUAGAGGUAAUGGCAGAGGCGGCCAGAACGGAGGGAGGCAGGUGGUGUCGCUGCUGCAGCUGAAUUUAGGGCCUAUAGUGGCGGCGCCACCAGCAGUGGCACUUGAGGAGGGUGAGGGCAGCGAUGUGUCAUCGUCGACAUCAUGUGUGUCAUUGCACGGUAGCCCGUCACGUGAAGAUUUGAUCCUCUGUCAAUGCAACAGGUGCUUCAUGCUAUGUAUUGUGACUAAGAAGGUAUUCCCUAGGUGCCUCAAUUGCAAACGUCCUAGCCUCUUGAUCCUAAAUGUUGGUGAUCACGACCAGUCCUCGAGCAAAUGAAGGAUAUUAGUCAUGCAUCGCGGCGAUGCAUGGAUGUUCUGUGUUGGCGCUGAGUGAGGGACUGGUGACUAUUGUCGGGUCAUCUACUUAAUUAAACAAUGUUAUCUUAUAUGCAUUAUUUGCCUUUUGUGGUUCAUGUACUCAAUGGUUUGUUGAUUAGUGGUUAUAAUGAUGUUGUGUUCUUGUUAAUUGUAAA